rnacentral:lncRNA from 1 species
CCCAUCAUACAGACAAGUAGAAGGUUUGGUGGAAUUCCUGGAGCAAAAUCCAGCAAUAGCCAAAGGUUUGCUUCGGACGAGUCAAGGGAAGCUAGAAACUAAGCGAAAAUGGGCAAGUUUGGCAACUUCCUUGAAUUCCCUUGGAGGAGCCAAUAAAAAUGGUCAAGGCUGGGCUAAGGUAAUAAAAAUAACGAAUUAGACAUUAUUAUCACUGUUAUCUUGCAGUAGUUUCAUUAACAUUAAUGCAUGUUUAAGUAUCGGGUUGAAAAUAAAUGUGGAUUGAAGAAGCAGUGCUCACAACUGUCAUCUUCAAUGAGGCGCACUGGUGGCGGGAUAGCAGACAAUUUGCCAACAUUGUCUGCUCUAGAUAAUUUUGGAUUGGUGGCAGUGAUGGGUGGACAAGAAUUUGCAAGAGGCGAUUCAAGCUUGGCAGUCAAUCUAUUUCCUGAAUUGAGGACUGCUGUCUCACCGGUUGCUAUACUCUUCUAUUGUAAGCAACAACGAGGUGAUGGAAAUGCACUUUGAGCAACCGGUGCAUGUUUCCCCUGUACCUGGCACGUCACACAGUGAAGUGAUACCAGACACCAUAAGUUCAUACUCUACUAAGAGAGUAGUGAAAAAUAUAAAAUUGAGUAAAAAGGAACAUAAUUUAUAUAAAAAAUUAAUAAAAAUGCGAGUAAAACUCUCAAAAUGCCGAAAUAGAGCGCAGAAGCAAUCAAUGCAGUUAAAAGCAGCCAAAAACUUGAUGAACAGUAGCAACUUUAUAACUACUGUAAACAAUUUGCCAAGUGCUGCUAAAAUUUUGACAAUGUUGCAAUUCAGAGAACAUAAAAAAAAAAACAAAAAGGCAGAAGAUUUUGACCGAAGAAAAAAUAUUAGCUUUGGCAAUGUUGAAACAAAGUCCCAAAGGCUAUCGCUUUCUGCGAAGAAUGUUAGUUUUGCCCUCUCAGCAAAUACUGACAAAAUUUUUAAAUCAAGCCAAUAUAAAACCUGGCAUUAAUACAAAUAUAUUUGGCCAGUUAAAAGAAAGGGCAAAAAAAAUGAAGCCAGCAGACAAACUCUGCGUAUUAUUGUUUGACGAAAUGUCUUUAAAACCCAAUAUUUCAUAUAAUGAAAGAAAAGACUUAGUGAUAGGUUUUGUCAAUAAUGGUCUUGAGACAAAACCCGACUUUGCAGACCAUGCACAAGUCUUCAUGUUCAGGGGUCUAAUAAGAAAAUAUAAGCAACCUGUUGCAUAUACUUUUUCAGAAGCGGCCACUAAAGGUCCAGAGUUGGCUGUGCAAAUUAAAACCAUUAUUGAACAUUUGCAGGAAACUGGUUUUAGUGUUGUGGCUACAGUAUGUGACCAAGGCACUAAUAAUAGACAUGCCCUAAAUCUUCUCCUUAAUGAAUCCAGGGGACAUAUGCUGAGAAGUGGACAAGAAGUCAGAGAAGAUGCAAAAAUAAUAUUAAUUAAUGACAAGAAUGAAACACUACAUGAAAGGGGACCUUCCCCUUUCACUCAAGCGAAAAUUAGUCGACAUGUGUAUCUUGCCCGUCCUAACCUACGGUGCGCAAACCUGGUCUCUCACAGAGUGUCAGAAGUCCAAGCUCAAGGUUUGCCAAAGAGCAAUGGAGCGUAGUAUUUUAGGUAUCAAGCGGAUGGACCGAGUACGCAAUACCGUCAUACGCUCCAAAACAGGAAUCUUCGAUGUGGGCCAAAAAACAGCAAAAUUAAAAUGGGACUGGGCUGGGCACGUCAGCCGAAUGCAUCCAGACAGGUGGGCCAAUAUUGUUGCUCAGUGGAUACCACAGGAUGGCCACCGCAGACGUGGUAGGCCCCGGAAGAGGUGGCGUGACGAUCUGGACGCCUACAACCCUGACUGAUGGGAGCACUCUAAGGAUCGAGAGGUGUGGAAACAAAAUGGGGAGGCCUUUGCCCAGCAGUGGGACAAUAAGGGCUAAGAAAAAAAAAAAAAAAAAAAAUGACAAGAAAAUUGUCCCACUAUAUGAUCCCCCACAUUUGUUAAAAGGUAUUAGAAAUAAUCUUUUGGAGAAGAAUUUAAGGUAUACAAGUGAAAACAAAGAAAAAACAGCUAAGUGGGAUCAC